rnacentral:rRNA from 1 species
AGAGUUUGAUCCUGGCUCAGGAUGAACGCCGGCGGUGUGCCUAAUACAUGCAAGUCGUACGCACUGGCCCAACUGAUUGAUGGUGCUUGCACCUGAUUGAUGAUGGAUCACCAGUGAGUGGCGAACGGGUGAGUAACACGUAGGUAACCUGCCCCGGAGCGGGGGAUAACAUUUGGAAACAGAUGCUAAUACCGCAUAACAACAAAAGCCACAUAGCUUUUGUUUGAAAGAUGGCUUUGGCUAUCACUCUGGGAUGGACCUGCGGUGCAUUAGCUAGUUGGUAAGGUAACGGCUUACCAAGGCGAUGAUGCAUAGCCGAGUUGAGAGACUGAUCGGCCACAAUGGAACUGAGACACGGUCCAUACUCCUACGGGAGGCAGCAGUAGGGAAUCUUCCACAAUGGGCGCAAGCCUGAUGGAGCAACACCGCGUGAGUGAAGAAGGGUUUCGGCUCGUAAAGCUCUGUUGUUGGAGAAGAACGUGCGUGAGAGUAUCUGUUCACGCAGUGACGGUAUCCA